CCCAACGGCCAACUCGCCCCGAAUGCGUCCGAUUUCGCCAGAUCUCGGAAGCUAAGCAAGACUUGAGCCUGGUUAGUACCGUGGAUAGGAGACUGGCUGCAUUGGGG
rnacentral:rRNA from 1 species